GUUCAGCGCUGUGCGUGUGUGGUUGCUGUAGGCUGAGGUCUGACUGUUUCCAACCUACUGCAUGUCCCCUCUGUGAAGAUUUAUGGGUAGCCAGGUGAUCCCCUGGCACACGGAACCUGUCUUGCGCCGUAUCCACCCACUGUUGAGAGGGUAUCAUCGAGGGUCAUAUCACUGUUCACUGCUGUUUUGCCCUAGUGAUUUUAGCAUUCUGUUUGUUGUUUUUGUUUUAUUUUGUCCAUCCGCCAUACUCUCUGUAUUUUGUUUCUGUAGCCUAAUUCAUGCUCGCAGGGCAGGUCCCAGUAGUAGAGCGCUCUAGUGUAGUAUUAGUAGCUUAGACGUGUGACGUGAAUUCUCACCUGUGUAGUGAGUAACCAUACUGAUUGAAUCAUUUGCUUAGCGGGGGUAGCCAUACUGAUUGAAUCACUUGCUUAGCUAGUACGCCUAUGUGUGUGUGUGUGUACUGUGCGUGCUGUGUGCUACAACAUAGGCCAUUUGUUUCUGAGCACGAGUGGUGGACAGCUCUAUCCUUAACUGACAGCCUGCCCUGUUAGCCUGACCCUGCCAUCAUUUAGGCCUAUCGGUAGACUAUUUGUCUGUCUUUUAUUUUAUGUUGGCGGUGUGGAUAUUUAAUGUGUUUUGUAUAAAUAAAGAAAGAUCAUUUUAUUUUUGCAACAAGAAAUCCACGUCUCUGUCCCAGUCUGUCAGAACC